GACGAACGCUGGCGGCGUGCUUAACACAUGCAAGUCGAACGGAAAGGCCCUGCUUUUGUGGGGUGCUCGAGUGGCGAACGGGUGAGUAACACGUGAGUAACCUGCCCUUGACUUUGGGAUAACUUCAGGAAACUGGGGCUAAUACCGGAUAGGAGCUCCUGCUGCAUGGUGGGGGUUGGAAAGUUUCGGCGGUUGGGGAUGGACUCGCGGCUUAUCAGCUUGUUGGUGGGGUAGUGGCUUACCAAGGCUUUGACGGGUAGCCGGCCUGAGAGGGUGACCGGCCACAUUGGGACUGAGAUACGGCCCAGACUCCUAAGGGAGGCAGCAGUGGGGAAUAUUGCACAAUGGGCGGAAGCCUGAUGCAGCAACGCCGCGUGAGGGAUGACGGCCUUCGGGUUGUAAACCGCUUUCGCCUGUGACGAAGCGUGAGUGAAGGUAAUGGGUAAAGAAGCACCGGCUAACUACGUG
rnacentral:rRNA from 1 species